CGAAAACGCCACGCGACCAUAGCACUUGGUGGAAGCUUCGUUUUAUUUACAUCCCCUAAAAAUUAUCAUAAUACAUAUCAACUUAAACUAUUGCAACAAAAAUGCACAAGGCAUUGGGUAGAUUGGGAAGAUCUUCUUUUACAUAUUAAAAACAAACGAUUUGUUCUUAUUGCAUUAAAGUAAUAGCUACAAAUGUUGUUAUCGUUUUAUUUGAGCUUAUUGGGUUAUAUGUUAUAUGUUUUAAGUUUUAAACCUUACAUCUUUCGUCCGCCGGGUAUGCUUUUGGGACACUACGUUAAGAUGGAUCAACUAUGACUUUAACGUUCAGAUUUCCCUAGCAGCGACAGCGAGUUUCAUUCCUAUUUAAUC